CAGAUUGGAGAGUCAUACAUGCCAUUCCUGGGACCAUCAAAAAUGGCAGAGGUCACACAAAAAGGCAAAACUUUUAAGAGGUGUUUUAAACGUCGUAUGGGCCAAAGAGAAGCUGGAUUUCCUAUUGGAGUCACCUGUAACACACGUGUGACGAAAUUGGCCUGUGAGGACAAGGCAGUGAGCAGAGAGGACAGCAGUCCUUAUGAGAUCAAGCUCUAAGGUAUCCUAGACACAUUUGGAGAAUUCACCUGAGCUACAGGAUGUGUCUUGCUCUGUCACCCAGGCCUGGAGUGCAGUGGAGCAAUCUCAGCUCACUGCAGCCUCCGCCUCCCGGAUUCAAGUGAUUCUCCUGCUUCAGAUUCUCGAGUAGCUGGGAUUACAGUUUUGAGAAGAAUGCGAAGAAGAAAGGAAGAGUGAGCCUCUCUUUCCCAUCGUUACCCUCCAUUGUCCUCUUGACACCCUGCUUUCACAGAGAAAGAGUUUGAGACCCUCUCCCAGGAGCCAAGGAGAGGGGAACAGCUGGCUUCACAUCAUCUUUCUAUUCAACAAGAUACAAAAAGCUGAAGCCAGGAUGAUAGAAAAGCAACAAAGAAGACACGGUCCUUACUCAUUUCCCUUCCCACUUCAGAGCAAAUAUGGUGCCUGGUGUUCGAAGGGAGAACUUGUGGGCAGAGCAGGAAGC
rnacentral:lncRNA from 1 species